CCCAUGUCAACAACCUUCUUGACGGAUUCUUCAAAUCUUUCUUUUCCAGUUACAGAACCGAAAUUAGAGAUGAGCAUAGAGAAUAACAGCUUCUGAGGCACACCCAAUUCCCUCAACGCCAAUACAUUUCUGAGUUUGUUCUCCUGCUGACUACCCUCUGGCGAAGAAUGACACAACUUUACGUACUUGGAGCUCUUAUCGGCUUCUAUGACCUCUUUGAUGAAAUCAUAGUAUACGCUGAAAGCUUUGUCUUUUUUGAUACCCAAGAUCUUUGGAACUUUAGAAAAAAUCUCAGUGAGCUCAGAGCUUGAAGCUCCUCUGGACUGAAGAAACUGAAGCUUGGGACCAAUACAUUUCUCAGCAUCUAAUAUGAGCAAUCCUGGGAAAGCGCUAACGAUGCUGGAGAUUUGAGGACCUGUGAACCCAUGACUCCUAAGAAGGCUCAAAACAGAAUCAGGAUUACCCUUUCCCUCGGACCAGACUUUCCUCGAGAUCGAUUCUGCGAGUUUCGUAGUGAACCCCAGUGACUCAACGAGGUAAGAGACUGUAAAGUUGCUCCCUUUUCGACCAUCUUGAGGAGCGCUUAGAUCAGCAGCACUAGCGGAGAAGAAGGAACUGGGAAAAGCAGAGAAUACAUUUUUCACUGAACCUCUCAGAUUAGGCCAUUUCUGUAACACGAGAGACCUUCUUCCAUAGAGUAUCGAAGAAUACAUUAGAGGAAAUGCGAUUAAGAGAAAGAACCGGGUCAAAUUCGAGAUUACGACAUGAUAAAGUCUCAAACUUUCUCCCAACUUACUAAUGUGCCGAGUUAAGAUCGAUGAAUGUUCCAGUUUUCCAGAAUUCGGCUCUCCAUUUCUUCUCUCGCAAAACCCAAAUUCGUCAAAACCACAAUUUUGGGUAAGGAGAAAAGGAUUUAACAAAAAAGGAAACUAGGGUUUAUGAAAAAUUGGGCUUCGAAUCCGGAUAUUCAAUGACUUGAAAUUAACCUUUGUGCUACAGCGGAUUUAUUUGCUAGAUACUGAAUACAAAUUUAUUUAUUUGCAUAGACCUUUAAAUGGGCCUUCAAAACUCUUUACAACCCUUUAAUUUAUUUAUUUAUUCAUCCAAAACUUUUUUAAAAUAAAUUCUUUCCAUUGCAUUUUGCAUUCAAGCCUAAACAAUGACAAUUCCAACCACAGCAUUACAUUCACUUGCAAACUAGUUAUGAAUCUCAAUUUUACAUGAUUCUCUGCAUGGAACACAAAUCAUGAGAUGCAUUUUUUUUUCUUCAAAUUUUCGGCUAGAGAGUUGUUUGGCCGGUGGAGAAAAUUGAUAGGAUUAUUUGCAUAUCCCCUUAAAUAUAUGGUAGGUGCAUGAAGUUGUCUUGUUAUUGUAUAAUUCCUCGUAAAAGUAAAAAGUAAUGUGCUUGUGGUUGAGCAUCUUACUUUAGUGGUAUUCUCUGUUUUCUUUUUUUUUGAAGAAGAAGGAAUUCUCUGUUUUCAUUCAUUAAAUAAAAUCAAAAGACGUGAAUAAAAGAUAAUCCUCUUCUCCAUGCUGUAUCCAAAGUACCUGAGGAAACAAAGCCACAGCCUUUAGUGGCCAGUUCAUCAUCUUCACCACAAACUCAGUCUUCUUCUUCACCGACUCCGCAGAAUAUGAGCUCACCAAUGAAGAUGACAGUGGAAGUAGUACCAUCACCACUUAUGUCAUCCUGUGCAACAGCUGUCCUUGCAAUCAUGAUGGCUGUGGGAUUUUGAAAUUUGCUGCAAAGAUUAGUAAGUGACAACUGUUAGCCAUUAUCAAACUAUUUCUAAGGAUUUGUGUAUGUCAUCAUUUUAAUAGUAUCACUUGACAAGUAAGAAGUGAUACUAUUAAGCUAACUUUAUUAAUCAACCAACAAGAUCUAGCAUUUUUUUUUUUUUUUUUUUUUUCAGACUCACCAUUUCCUUCAAAAGCGUCUUUCCAUCCUUAGUAUUUCAAAUAUUUUUUUGUGCAAAUCAACUUCAAAAACAGUAAAAGAUACAAAGUUACACAUCAGUCGUCUCACAUUCCUUAAUUCGUAGAAGAAAUAUAUAUGUUUCCAUGAGAUAAAUAGGUAAACUUGCAUUAGAAAAUGUCACUGUUUACUAUUACAAGUGAAAUUGUUUUGGUUUUUCAUUUUUUCAACUUUAGUUAACUUUUCAAUUUGUUGCUCAUGUAAACAAAACUCAAGUUUUACUACAGUAUUAAAAAAUUUAGCAAUGAAUCAAUCAAAUGGACCCUUCAAAUUUUAUUAAAAAAAUGGGGGCUAUGUUUCUUUUCUAUUCUCAUAGGCAAGGCCCUACAUAUGGACCAAUGAUAAGAGAUAGAAAGAAGAAAGAUGAACAAGGUAACUUUACUGAAGUAGCUAUUCCUCAAACUCAUGCAUGUGAUCAAGAAGAUAGUCGCAGCCAACUCUUCGUUCUUGUUACAUGCGAAGAACACUUCCAACACCAAUGCUCUCUCAGAUCCCAUUGCUUCCAGCUGUAUAUAUAUUUUUUUUUUAUCAAGGUCAACCCGAGCUGAUCAAACAUUUUCUAGAACAUAGUAUGCCAUAGUCUCCCUUAAAUACUUUGUCUUGACAACGGUUUUUGCAAUAAUCGCAAAUUGGUCGAGAAAUCUUGCUUUUGCCAAGAAUCUGGAACUCCUUCCCACUUUGUCUGUAAGAUUGACCAGGCUUCAUAUAUGGAAAUUCACCAAAUAAACAAUUAAUAUGAAAAAUGGUGCAACACUCCUUACACCAAUAGAAUAUUGUUCUAACUGUAUCGUUUAAAUCGCAUUCACAUAUCUCGCAACAAUCAUUCUCAUUUAUUUCUUUACCAAAUAAAACUGUGAGAAAGUGUUUGUCAUGCUUAUACCUUGCUUUAUAUGGUAAAGUUGCGCACUUGAAACAUACAAUAAAAUUGCAUUUGAUGCAGUUUAUUUGUUUCUGACAUUCUAUUUUGCAUACCUCACAUAUGGGUUUAUUUAUUGGAUCUAAAGUUAGGAACAAGGGAUGUUCAUGAGCUUUGAAAUCAAACGGCUCUGAGAUUAAAGCACGCCUCACAUCUAAGUUGAAUUUGCAAUCUCCUAUGCAACAACCAUAGACAAACCCACCACAAAUACGAUAACAAACCCAGCAGAAGAAACUACCCAACCUAUAUCUACUAACACUCUUCAAUGUAAGCGGAUGAGGAUGUAAUCCAUGUUGGAUUCUACGAGGAUGUAAUUCAUGGAGGAUGAACUCACACUCAAUACAAGAAUAUAAGUUACCUUCAUAGAUUGGAAGGACACACGCUUGACAAAGCUUGUUUUCAUCGUAAAGUAUGUUGACCUCGAACCGGAGAUGAUGUUCAUGAAGAAAAUAAAGUAUUACUCCUUCAGAUAUAAUAUCGAAUGGCUUAGCAUCUUGUGUUAUAUCAUCUUCUUCUGGUACACCUUCGAGUUCUUUUCCAUCCCACACAUUUUUUCCAAGAGCACAUCUUGAAUGAACAACAUAGUCACUACAUUUGUCACAAGUAUAUGCACCAUAAUCGCAGUUAACCCUUUGGCGACAAACUCCACAAGACCACUCUCUUGAUUGAAGAGAAGAAAUGUAGGAGAUACGAUGGUGGUGACGUGAUAUCUUGAUAAUGUGUGGGGAAUACAUACAAUCUUUAUGAGCUACAAAGUUGCAUAUGAGACACACGUAUGUAGGAGAACUUUUUCUCAACAAUCCACAAACAUUGCAAACUAAGGAGGUAUGUCUAGGGAAAAAGGUUAGGGAAUGGUCAUGCCUUUUUGGUUGGUCUAUAACAAAGGGUAUUGGUUUUAUCGUGCAGAUCGGAUGUAUGCAAACCUGACAAAUGGUACAAUAAUAUACCAAAUAUCUCGUUGUUUCUCCACAACAUAAAUACUCAUUAUUUUUUCUGUCACGACGAUCACAAUAAAGUUGUAGAAAAUGUUCGGGAUGAUAAGGAUGUUUGAUUUUAAGUGAAGACUCGACGCAUUCUUUGUGGAAUUUGACUUGAUGGUAUUCACAGAAAUAAUAGUUUGUACCAAAAUUUGAGACAUUGCAUGCUUCACACCCACCAUCGCUAUCGAAAUCUUUAUUGUUGCACCAAUACAAAGGAAGUACAGGAUGAUGACCAAAUCUUGGUGCAGAGAUGUUGUACUUGGGGGAAGAAUUGAGCGGAAAAUGGUUUGAAUUCUGUCUAAGAUAGUCGUUUGUCUGUCGUGCAUGAGGGCAUAAGAAAAGAGGUUGAAGAGGCUGAUCAUGGCUAGUUGUUUCACUUGAGAAACUUAGGUUUUGUGUUUGUGGCAUUAGAUGGUAUACCAGAAAUUGUUUACCAUCUAUUUCCUCUCGACGAAAUCCACCAACGGAAUCCAUGGUUGCUCCUUGUCUCUCUUUAUUUUAUCUUCUCAAGAGUUCUUCUAAAGUUGUUGGUUAUACAAAAAUCAACCCUGUAAAAAAUGUCCCCUAUAAAUAUGAAACUUUGAUUCCAGAAGAUGUCCUUCUACUUUUGAUUACUAGAUUCAUAACGUGAAAACGUGAUGAAUUUUAUUCCUUUUUUGUAGUUGUGAUGUUGUUCUUUCCACGCAAAUCAAGAAUCAAUUUUUCUUAGCCAAAUGGUUUUCGACCUUAUUGAAGUUAUCCGUUUCUUCAAGACUUUCAGUUCACAAACAAUUAUCUAUAGAAUUUAGUCUAAGAGACUUUGUUCUUUUCAAGUGUAUAGUUUUUUUUGAAAAACCGGUAAAUUUACAAAUCAGCUUCGUACAGUAAUAUGGUUUAAUAUGUUAUCAUUGAUUUAUAUAAGAACUCUUUAUAUAAAGUGCUCGUAACGGGAGUCAAAUAUUUUGUUUAUCAUUACAAGCUCAUUUUCCUGGUAUAUGCAAUAUUUAUAUAUCAAUAUUCCAAUAUAGAGCUAAUAAUCUAAAACACUUCUCGGCUACAAAUGCAAUUUUUACUGAAGAAUCUCUCAAAAGUUCUUUGCUUUAUCAUAUCAACCAAAGAACAUUUAGCAUUGAUCAGUAUAUGGUAAGUUACCUGCCUAACCAAAGCAUCACAUAUCUCUAAGUUACCAGCCUAACUAACCGAUUUCACUAGCCUGUGAAUUCAAAAUUAAUACUUAUUUCUUAUUUUCCAAGUCAAGUUCAGAUUGCAAAAGUAGAAAUUGGGUUUCAGAGAUUUAUAGAUAAAAGUCCUUAUUUUGCUUUCCAAUCUUGGCGUCAAAAAUUUCAUCAACAAAUCUAAAAACUUACAGAAUAAAAAAAAAACCUUGACAAACUUCUAAUCUAUGCUUCAUCACAUACCUUUCUUAGAACACAUUAUCUGUACAUACCAAGACAUACGACACUGAAGGGAGCUCACUUCCCAUCAAUCCUUUGGAAAUGAGAGCUUUGAUUACGUUACAUCUUGGUACAAUCCCCUUCUCCAUGCUAAAUCUAAGUACACGAGGGUUUGAAACCAAGGCCAUUAGUGGCCAAUUCAUUUUCUUCACAAGAAACUCAGUCUUCUUCUUCUUCAGCGUCACUGUGGAUAAUCCAAUGCACAUAGGAAAGCGCUUGACCAUCAUCACAAACUCAUCUCUGCUGAAUCCUAGGCCUAGAAAUGUUUCAAGUGAGUUUAAUAUAUUCUUCUCUGAGAGUGCCAGAAUCCUUGGAAACAUCUUGAACAUUUCCCAUACGUCUUCCACACCAAAGCCUAACCUUUUAUAGACGUUGACUUUUGCUUCCAUCGUUUUGUCGCUCAUAUUGUAAAAAGCGCGUAGAGCGUCGACAAAGGUUGAGGUUGUCGGAUCAAAGCCCAUGUCAACGACCUUCUUGACAGAUUCUUCAAAUCUUUCUUUUCCAGAGCAGAUACGGUUAUCGGAGAUGAGCAUAGAGAAUAACAGCUUCUGAGGCACACCAAGUUCUCUCAAAACCAAAACAUUUUGGAGUUUAUUCUCUUGCGCACUACCAGGUGGCAAAGAAAAUCAUAACUUUUUGAACUUGGAGCUCUUAUCGGCUUCUAUAACCCCUUUGACGAAAUCAUAGUAUCUGCUGAAAGCUUUGUCCUUUUUGAUACCCAAGAUCUUUGGGACUUUAGAAACAAUCUCAGUGAUCUCAGAGCUUGAGGCUCCUCUGGACUGGAGAAACUGAAGCUUGGGACCGAGAGACUCCUCAGCAUCUGCUAUAAGCAAUAGUGGAUAAACCGUAAUGAUGGUGGAGAUCUGAGAAUCUGUGAAACCAUUAAUUUUAAGAAGUUUCAGAACAGAAUCAGGAUCUUAUUAGCGAUCAGAGAAGAAGAAGAUAAGAAAAGUUUGUUAGAGAAUUUUCUCUGAUUAAUUCAUCACGAAAUGUGACCGUUUACACUUAUAUACAUUUGAGAUAAACUAAACCGGACUAAACCUAUUUACAAUUAAUCUAAGAUUGAACCAGCAAAAGGAAACCGGAAUCAAUCAUACAAAAUUGUUGUUAUCCUUUUAGUCCCUCUCAAGAUGAGCUCUGGAAGAUGUUCUGAAGACUCAUCUUGGACUUCAAAUAUUCAAACUGGUGAGGGAAGAGAGGUUUAGUCAUAAUAUCUGCAACUUGAUCUUCGGUUGGAACAUGUAAAGAUUUGAGAAUCCCUUUGUCCAAGCGUUCUCUAACCGAGUGACAAUCUGUUUCAAUGUGUUUGGUGCGUUCAUGGAAAACAGGAUUGGUGGCAAUGGAGAUAGCUGCAGUACUAUCAGAAAAGAGGAUAGGUGUGUUCUCAGGUGUUACACGCAGGUCCUUGAGUAACUUCAAAAGCCAAACCAUUUCCUGAGAAGCUAAAGAUAAGGCCCUAUAUUCGGCUUCUGCAGUCGAACAAGAGACAGUGUCCUGUUUCUUGGACUUCCAAGAGAUCAAAGAUGAUCCAAGAAACAUACACAUACCAGUUGUGGAACGACGACUAUCAGGACAAGCCGCCCAGUCAGAAUCUGCAAAUCCUUUUAAUGUGAUAUCCGGAUCUGCAGAGUAAAAGAGACCCAAACCAACAGUGCCUUUGAUAUACUGCAGAACUUUGUACGCAGCUUUGAGAUGAGUAGAACGUGGAGCGGAAGAGUAUUGACAUAACUUGUUGACGGCAAAUGUGAUAUCAGGUCUUGUUAUUGUCAAAUACAUCAAACGUCCCACAAGGCUUCGAUACAUUUCUCGGUCUUGAAGUAAAUCACCAUCACUUUUGGACAUCUAAAGAUUUGGAACCAUAGGAGUAGAUGAAGGUUUACAUCCAAGCAUUCCUGUAGACGUAAGAAUCUCCAAAGCAUAUUUCCAUUGGCACAAAGAAAUACCAGCAGAAAUUCUAGCUACUUCCAGGCCUAAGAAGUACUUUAGAGUUCCCAAAUCCCUCAAUUUGAAGCAUCGUUUCAAAGCUUCAAUCAACUUCUUUGAAAGAGACUCAUCAGUACUGGCAAUAACUAUAUCAUCGACAUAAACCAAUACUGCAAGAAAGUUGUGUUGAUCACAGCCUUUCACAAACAAGGUAUGAUCACCAUCACCUUUAGUAAAUCCCAAAUCCAGUAAAGCUUCAGAAAAUUUCUUCUACCACUGUCGGGAUGCCUGUUUCAAACCAUAAAUGGACUUUUUUAACCGUAAGACAGCAUGCUUAGGUAAAGAGUCCCCCUGUCUCUCUGCAUAUCCCUCAGCUAAUCUCAUGAACACCUCUUCAUCCAAGUCGCCGUUAAGGAAUGCAUUAGAAACAUCCAACUGAGACAAAAAACCAUUGUUUUGAUGCUGAAACUUUCAUAAAAGCUUGACAGUUGUUAGCUUUGCAACAGGAGAAAACGUCUCCUUGUAGUCCAAACCCUCUUUCUGCGUAUAACCUUUAGCAACCAGGCGUGCUUUAUACCUUUCCAGACUACCAUCAGCAUGAAACUUCACAGUGAACACCCAUUUACAUCCAACUGGUUUCUUACCCGGAGGCAGAGAUGUGACCUCCCAUGUAUCAGUUGAUUCCAUGGCACCAAAUUCCUUAUCCACUGCUCCACACCAUUCUUUAGAACUCUUUGCCUCAGAGUAGGAAUUAGGUACAGGGAUUUUAGUGAUAUUAUUAAUAUAGGAGAGGUGAGUAGGAGUGACUUUGGAAUAAGAAACAAAAUCGGAUAUAGGAUAUUCUAGACUAGAUUGCAGAGAAUUGCAAUGAUAGUCUUGUAAGUGAGCUGGAGGUUUACGAAUACGAGUAGAGGGAGUUGGUAAUAAGGGAGGAGUAGAAAUUUCUGAGAGAUGAGAAGAAGAAGGAUUGGAAGAAGAAUUGGUGAUACCUGAAGGCAAAGAUUCUGGUGUGAAAAAAUUCGAUAUAUCCUUUGUAUUCGAAUCCUUUACCAUCGGAAAUAUGUCUUCAUGAAAGCGAACAUGACGCGAAAUGAACACCUUGUUACUUUCCAAAUCCAAUAGUUUGUACCCUUUGUACCCAGCUGGAUAGCCUAGGAACAAACAAGCUCGAGAUCUUGGUUGAAACUUAUGUCUUUGUUUUGGUGAUGUAGAACCAUAACACAGACAACCGAAGACUCUGAUCAGAUCAUAGACAGGAGCUUUGCCAUUCAACAAUUCAUAUGGAGACUUGUUGUUCAGCAAAGGAGAUGGAGUCCUGUUAAUGAGGAAUACUGCAGUUAAAACGCAAUCACCCCAGAAUUGCAAUGGAACACCAGACUGAAACAGGAGAGCUCUUGACACAUUCAAGAUGCAUGUGUUGAUGUUUUCUCUCUACAACUGAGUUUUGUUCGGGUGUUUCAGGACAUGAGUGAAAGCUUUUAAUACCCUUUUGUUGAUAUAAAGCAGUGAAACUAAAUUCUGGUGCAUUAUCGGAUCUUACGGCUUUGAUCUUUGUGUUAUACUGGUUUUCAACCUGUGUGAUGAAUGCUGGAAACACUGUAAGAACCUCAGAUUUAGUCUUAAGCAGGUAUAUCCAAGUUGCACGUGAGUGAUCAUCAACAAUGGUUAAAAAAUAUCGAUAUCCAUCAAUAGUCUCAACCGAAAAUGGUCCCCAAACAUCAAUGUAUAAUAACUCAAAGGUUGAAUUACAGAUAUUGUUCGGAGAAGGAAAAGAGAGUUUCUUCUGCUUAGCCAGGUGACAAACAUGACAAAAUGCAGAAUCCUUAUUCUUGUGUCUAGUCGUUCCCAAAGCUUCUGAGAUAACGUCUAAUCUGGAGUAUGAUGGAUGUCCAAGCCUUUUAUGCCACUUGCCUAUAUCCACCACUGCAUUCACGGAAAUUGGAGAUGAUAUAGUGUCAAGAACAGAGGUUUGCAACUCGUUUACCCUGUCCAAUCGUCACAGCCCUGGAAUGAUCCUGAAUUUCACAAGAGGUACUGUCAAAACAAACUCUUGAGCCUAUAUCAGUUGUCAAGGAGCUUAUACUGAGAAGGUUCAGACAAAAUUCAGGAAUAAACAAAACAUUUCCCAAGAGAAUAUGUUUAUUUAUUUGAACAGAUCCUACACCACUAAUACGAACAGUUGAUCCUGUUGGCAAAUUCACAAAGCUUACAACAGAGGUGUCAAUGGAAACAAAUGAUUUCCGAUUAUAUGACACAUGAUGUGUUGCUCCGGAGUCGAUCACCCAAGAACCAUUGCAAAGGCUUUGGUGUGAAAUCGUCAAUAUGCCCACAAAACUGAAAGUAGAUGGGGAGAAAGCAAUACCAGAAGGAGCAACUGUCGUCUGUGAAGUAUUAGUGUCCGAGGAUUGCAAGAUUUGCUGUGGUUGUAACUGAGAACUGAACAAUGCUAUGAACUGCUGAAUCUGAUCUUUGCUGAGAUUUCCAAUCAAUCCUUCCAAAUUCGGCGACUUAACUUCAGAAGAAGAAGCCAUUUGCAUUUGAGCAGCAACCGGAGGAGGCUUGGAAGAUUGACCAGAUGAUUUCCCUUUUGGUGUAUACCCUGGAGGAAAACCAUGCUUCUUGUAGCAUCUCUCAACAAUAUGUCCAACUUUGUUGCAAAAAUAACAAAUAGGGCGACCUUUGUUUGGACCAGAUUGAACAUAGCAUAUGAUUUCAGAAUCUGUACCAGAAGAAGGAAUAUUCUCAGAAACCUGAAAUGCCGCAGGAGGAACAACAUUUGAGAAGCCACGCUGACUAUCAUCCUGAUUGAGAAUGUUGUACACCUCUGCGAGACUAGGGAGAGCCUUCUUCAUGAUGAUCUGACGUCGAAUGAUUGCAUAAGAAUCGUUCAAACCAGCCAAAAACUUCACUAUCUUAGCUCUCUCUGCUUUCAAUUGCAGACGUUGAGUUUUACCACAAGUACAUGGUUCAUCAGGUUCCUCUGUGCUUUCCAAACUACUCCACAAGGUUUUGAGAGUGGUAUAGUAAUCAGAAAGUAAGAGAGAACCUUGUCGAAGAUCCUGUAUCUCCUGAGUAAGGUUAAACGUGCGAGGAAGGUUCGUCAUAUGAAAGCGACUGUGUAAGUCACGCCAUAUAUCAGUAGCAUCAUUCAUCCUUAGAACACUACGAUAGAUCUGAGACGAGACCGAGUUCAAUAACCACGAUUUAACCAUACUGUUGCAUCUAGACCAUAGACGAAAACUAGAAUCCGAUUCGAGAGGACGAGGUAAUGAUCCAUUAACAAAUCCAAUUUUGUUCUUAGCGUCUAGAGCGAUACACAUAGCUGCAUUCCAAUCAUCAUAGUUUGUUCCAUCGAGUUUGAGAGAGAUGAUUUGCAAACCUGGAUGAUCUGCACUAUGCAUAUAGAACGGAGAUUGACUUGGAUCUAGAGAAUCCGGCAUUGCAAUGACUCGCGAAGCUCCAGAAUCUUGAGCAACAGCUACUGGAGGAAGAAUCGGAGACUGAUCUGCAACAUCGGAACUAGAUUUUGUUGAGCGAUGAGUCGAUUUUGAAGCAGAACUUGAUGCAGCUUUGGAUCGAGUAGAUCUUCGAGGGAGAUUCUUCAACGAUACCAUCUUAGCUUCAGAUUAUCCUGCGGAAUCCAGAAAUCGAGCUCAAAUUAUGUGAAACGAAGUAGAAAUUAGAGCUUUGAUGGCUCUGAUACCAUAUUAGCGAUCAGAGAAGAAGAUAAGAAAAGUUUGUUAGAGAAUUUUAUCUGAUUAAUUCAUCACAAAAUGUGACCGUUUACACUUAUAUACAUUUGAGAUAAACUAAACCGGACUAAACCUAUUUACAAUUAAUCUAAGAUUGAACCAGCAAAAGGAAACCGGAAUCAAUCAUACAAAAUUGUUGUUAUCCUUAGAGCAUCCUCAAUGCAGAGACCUAUAUGAGUCUCCUAUCUAUUUUUUUAAUAGUUUUUUAGCAAAAAGUGAAAUUAAAAACUGGUUUUAGAAACUUCUUGUUUUGGACUGUACAAUGGAGAGACUUAUAUAAGUUUUUUUUAAAAAAAAAAUUUUGGAAACAAACUUAAUGAAAAAUAUCCAAGCAAAAUAUACUUAACUCGUGCUUGUACCAAGAAUCGCAAGUUCACACAUCAACAACGAUGAUUAUUAAACUCACAAAAAACAAAAAAGAAAAACAAUCUCUAAGUGAAGAUAGCCAUCAACUCAGCAACAAGCUUCUUGUUGAUUCAAAUUUUUCUUUGCCAUAGACAGGUUGGUAAUCGGAGAUGAGCAAAGGCAACAGCAGCUUCUGAGGCAUGCCUAAUCCUCUCAAAACCAAUACAUUUCGAAAUUUGUUCUACUGCUUAUUGUUGUUACCCUCUGGCCAAUAAAGACAUGACUUUUCGAUUUCAAACUCUGAGCUUCUAUCAGCUUCAAUAUUAUCUUUGAAGAAAUCAUAGUAUAAGCUGAGAGUUUUAUCCCCUUUCUUUCCUAAGAUUUUCGGAACUUUGGAAAUGAUCUCAGCGAGAGCAGAGCUUGAAGCUCCUCUGGAAUGAAGAAACCGAAGCUUGGGACCAAGAGAAUCUGUGAAGCCAUGAGCUCAUUAACCUUGGUGAACACAGGCUUCCUCAAAGCAGGCGUUGCCUCAGCCAUUAUUAGAACAACAACCCUAGAGAUUAGCCAUUAAGAAAAAGACACACUUGGUCAGAGCAGCAAUAAGAACAAUUCACUUCACAAGCAACAACAACAAUUUCAAAUCUGAUGAUUAAACCAUUCAAAUUCAAUCUCCGAUAUUAGCCAAAAGCAUGAGAUCAAACCAAUUUCAUUCCUCAAACCUGCCACAGCUAUUAAAACGAGUGAUAGAAUUUGCAAAACAGCAACAUUGACACAAAAGAUGAUAAACGAUCGAUGACCAAAGCUAAUCACACACACAAAAAAAUAAUAUUUUGAUCAGACAAAUCAUGGGAUCUCUGAUCGAGCAGAUAAAAUUGAAGACAAAGGAAGAUCCAAUUGAGAAAAACCAGAGAAUCGACCAAAGAACAAAUCAGAGAAUCGACUAAAAAAACAAAGAAUCGAGCAGAGAGGGGUUUUAGGGUUCGUUGAACUUAUCUGAAGGCUUUCUUGUCGCCGAUUUCGGAGAGGACGAGAUCAAGAUGUCGCGAUUCGUCGGAAACUCGAUCGAUCUCUCGUAAUCGUCGGAAAGGAAAGGAAAAUGGAAGAAAGAUGUUCUCGGGGAAAAUGAAAUGGAAGCCCCAAUUUUUGUUUUUCCUCCAAUUACGUGAACCAAUGAUCAAAGACCACGUGUCCCGAGAAACGUUUUCAGAUGUCCCGAAAUAAGAAACGUUUCGGGCAAAUAGAGACGCAGCCCAAUUUUUUUUAAUAUUUGGUUUCCACUAAAAACGCCUUCGGUCUCUGCAUUGCUGAUGCUCUUAUAGAUCUCCCUUGCCCUCGGAGCUGACUUUCCUUGAGAUCGAUUCUGCGAGUUUCCUAGUGAAACCCAACCAAUCAACGAGGUAAAAGACAGUGAAAGUCUCCCCUUUUCGACCAUCUUGAGGAAGGCUCACAUCUGCAACAGCACUAGCAGAGGAGAAGGAAUUGGAAAAAGCAGAGAUUACAUUUCGCCAUUUCUGUAACACGAGAUACCUUCUUCCACGGAGAAUCAGAGUAGUAUACAUGAGAACGCAAUGAGGUUACCAAAUGCUUGAAAGGAUUCUAAGCUCAUAAGAAGACGACAGGAUAAAUUCUCAAAAUCUCUCCAAACUUACAAAUGUCCAGUGGUGACUCAUAAAUCGAGUGCCCGUGAAAAUCGAUGAGUGUUCGAGUUCUCCAUCUACCCACACGGCAGACCCAAAAUGGCAAAAAUCAAAAUUUGGGGAGGUAGAAGAAACUAGAAAUUAGGGUUUAUGAGAAAUCCUAAUCACGAUAAAGAAGAAAAAAGAACAAAAAGCGUUAGAUAUAUACAAACAGGGGCAGAGUUACAUGAGGCAUAUGGUAUGUUAAUGAUAUGAACAAAAUACUUCUUUAUUUCCGAGGAAACUCAAAAAACUCAAGCUCUACAAUUACAACAAAUGCAUGAAUGUGAUCCUUCACAAGAAGUUGUUUUUUUUUUUCUUUCAGCACCAACCUAUGUAUAUUACCAAGAGAAACAAAUACAAGAAUGAAGUCAAUCUGCAGUUAAAGAAACUUGAAGACAUGGAAUGUGUCACCAACUUAUGUAUAUUACCAAGAGAAACAAUUACAAGAAUGAAGUCAAUCUGUAGUUAAAGAAACUUGAAGAUAUGGAAUGUGUAAGUUCUUGGCUGCCUGUUAAAACAGGAUCCUAUCCUUUCAUGCCAAUACUUCCAUUUCCAUAACCACUUGUAUGAUGUAUCACACACUUCAAUCUCUGACCAAAAUUUUCUUGUUCUUCUUCUGAUCACAAUCAAAUGAAAACAUUGACUUGUGACUUGUGAGUUAACUCUUGAUGAGUCCUUACAGUUAUGUUGCAGUGAUCUAGUUGAUAAGUAGAGUUAAUAGUAUGCGAUGCGACUGAGAUCAUGUUCUUACAAGCCAUAGCCUAAAACGCAACCAAGAGGACAUGUCUUAAUUGCAACCAAGAUGAAACAAGCUCAAAGUUUCUCCAAUUAUACAUCAAUUUAACCAUACCGCUCUAGACAGACCUCUUAAGCCCCCAAAAUCCUAAAUCUCAACGCCAAUGAACUACUAAACUCAGUUUUCGAACAUACAGUUCUCAGUGUAAAGAUGAUUGUAGCAGUAAGACUAAGAACUGGACACUUUCAACUUUAAAACAACUCGUUUUAACAAUCCAUCAACACCAAAAAAGGUUCUCGCAGGAGAUUUAAAGUUUCGUUUCCCAAACAAAAGCUGAAACUAAUGAUUCUUUAUGUUUUGUACAUAUGAAGAAACAUCCAAGCUAUCAAAACCAUCAGCAAGAAUCAAGACCACUAUGGUUUCGAACCUAUUUGUCUGAUGAAAGAGUAAAGCUAUCACUAUGGCCCAAGUUGAAACAAUUUUUUCAGAUGAUGAACAAAACUAGCCAGAAAGACAUUCUAGAACGAUUCACAAUAGCUGUGUCUGAUCAACGUUCAGAGUAAUAAAAGUUUAAAUUAAUAAAAGACCGGCAACGACCAAUCAUGAUGUAAAUCUCGUAUAUUGCCUCCCAUUGCCCGAAUCUAAAACUAACAGGAACAAAGAAAAACUAACUUUGACAAGCCUUUCUAUGCUAUGAGACACGAUCUUUGGUGAAGAUGGCCAUCAACUCAGUCACCAACUCCUUGUCCUCGUGAUUUUUUCAUUAAGGUUCUAAAUACCAAAAACCAUGUAAGAACCUUUGUACCUUUGCAUUAUUACCAUAUCUCCAAGUCAGAUUGCAUAUAAAAAUGGGUCACAUCCGGAUCAAACUGAGAUCGCAGAAGCUUUGAAUCAUAAUCUAAAUCUCUUAUAUUGCCUCCCACUGCUGGAAUCUAAAACUAACAGGAAAACCAAAAAAAAAAAAGGCUUCUAUGCUAUGAGACACGCCAUCAACUCAAGCACCAGCUUAUCAUUAUGCUUCACCACAUACCUGUUUGAUAAAACUUGAUUACGUUUCACCAUUGGUACAGUUUUAGGUUUAAGACUCUAAAUUAAUGUGCUUUCAGAGAUCUUGGCAAGCCUUACGAAGCAGGAGCUUUGGUGAAGAUAGCCAUCAAUUCACGCACCAGCUCAUCGUCAUUGUGCUUCAUCAAGUACUUGUUUAAGAAAGCUUGAUCGGUACAUGCCAAGACACACGGCAUAGAAGGGAGUUCAGUUCCAAGCAAUCCUUUAGGCAUGAGAGCUUUGAUUACAUUACACCUUGGUAUAAUCCUCUUCUCCAUGCUGUAUCCAAGUACCUGAGGGAACAAAGCCACAGCCUUUAGUGGCCAGUUCAUCUUCUUCACCACAAACUCAGUCUUCUUCUUCACCGACUCUGCAGAAUAUCUAAUGCACUGAGGAUAGCACUUGACCAUCAUGGCAACCUCAUCUCUGCAGAAUCCUAGGCCUAGAAUUGUUUCAGUGGAGUUCAAUAUCUUUUGCUCCGAGAGUGCCAGAAUGUUUGGGCACUUCUUGAACAUUUCCCAUACAUCUUCCACAUCAAAGCCUAACCUUUUAUAGACGUUUACUUUUUCUUCAAUCGUUUUGUCGCUCAUUUGGUAAACAGCGUGUAGAGCAUGGACAAACUUUAAGGUUGUCGGAUCAAAGCCCAUGUCAAGAACCUUCUUGACGGAUUCUUCAAAUCUUUCUUUUCCAGAUACAGAUUGGAAAUUGGAGAUGAGCAUAGAGAAUAACAGCUUCUGAGGCACACCCAAUUCUCUCAACGCCAAUACAUUUCUGAGUUUGUUCUCCUGCGCACUACCCUCUGGCGAAGAAUGACACAACUUUACGUACUUGGAGCUCUUAUCGGC
rnacentral:lncRNA from 1 species